rnacentral:rRNA from 1 species
AUCGCCUGCCCAGUGACUGAAGUUAAACGGCCGCGGUAUCCUGACCGUGCAAAGGUAGCAUAAUCACUUGUUCCUUAAUUAGGGACUAGUAUGAAUGGCUGGACGAGGAUUUAACUGUCUCUUAUUCCUAAUCAGUGAAAUUGACCUUCCAGUGAAGAGGCUGGAAUAACACAAUAAGACGAGAAGACCCUAUGGAGCUUUAAUCAUUUAGCUUAAUUAUCACAAGCAACAAACCUAUUGGACUAAAAAUAUUAAUAAUAAGCUAAGAAUUUCGGUUGGGGUGACCUCGGAGAACAAAAAACCCUCCGAAUGAUUUUAGCCUAGACUCACAAGUUGAAGCAACCUACAAAAUCUUAUUGACCCAAAUAAUCUUGAUCAACGGACUAAGUUACCCUAGGGAUAACAGCGCAAUCCUAUUUAAGAGUUCAUAUCGACAAUUAGGGUUUACGACCUCGAUGUUGGAUCAGGACAUCCCAAUGGUGCAGAAGCUAUUAAUGGUUCGUUUG